UACGUAGGUGGCAAGCGUUGUCCGGAUUUAUUGGGUUUAAAGGGUGCGUAGGCGGCCCUGUAAGUCAGUGCUGAAAUAUCCCGGCUUAACCGGGAGGGUGGCAUUGAUACUGCAGGGCUUGAGUGAAGUCGAGGUAGGCGGAAUUGACGGUGUAGCGGUGAAAUGCUUAGAUAUCGUCAAGAACACCUAUUGCGAGGGCAGCUUACUAAGCUUUAACUGACGCUGAUGCACGAAAGUGUGGGGAUCAAACAGG
rnacentral:rRNA from 1 species